UUUGACCUCGGAUCAGGUAGGAAUACCCGCUGAACUUAAGCAUAUCAAUAAGCGGAGGAAAAGAAACCAACAGGGAUUGCCCUAGUAACGGCGAGUGAAGCGGCAACAGCUCAAAUUUGAAAUCUGGCCUCGGCCCGAGUUGUAAUUUGCAGAGGAUGUUUCUGGCGCGGUGCCUUCCGAGUUCCCUGGAACGGGACGCCACAGAGGGUGAGAGCCCCGUAUGGUUGGACACCAAGCCUGUGUGAAACUCCUUCGACGAGUCGAGUAGUUUGGGAAUGCUGCUCUAAAUGGGAGGUAAAUCUCUUCUAAAGCUAAAUACCGGCCAGAGACCGAUAGCGCACAAGUAGAGUGAUCGAAAGAUGAAAAGCACCUUGAAAAGGGGGUUAAACAGUACGUGAAAUUGUUGAAAGGGAAGCGCUCAUGACCAGACUUGUGCCGGGCGGCUCAUCCGGGGUUCUCCCCGGUGCACUCCGCCCGGCCCAGGCCAGCAUCGGUUCUCGUUGGGGGAUAAGAACGGUGGGAACGUGGCCCUCCCUCGGGAGGGUGUUAUAGCCCGCCGUACGAUACCCUGAUGGGGACCGAGGUUCGCGCUCCGCAAGGAUGCUGGCGUAAUGGUCAUCAGCGACCCGUCUUGAAACACGGACCAAGGAGUCGUCCAUUAGAGCGAGCGUUUGGGUGUAAAACCCGCACGCGUAAUGAAAGUGAAAUUAGGUGAGAGCUUCGGCGCAUCAUCGACCGAUCCUGAUGUUCUCGGAUGGAUUUGAGUAAGAGUUUUAACGGACGGACCCGAAAGACAGUGAACUAUGCUUGUAUAGGGUGAAGCCAGAGGAAACUCUGGUGGAGGCUCGCAGCGGUUCUGACGUGCAAAUCGAUCGUCAAAUAUGAGCAUGGGGGCGAAAGACUAAUCGAACUGUCUAGUAGCUGGU
rnacentral:rRNA from 1 species